rnacentral:rRNA from 1 species
UACGUAGGGGGCAAGCGUUGUCCGGAUUUAUUGGGUUUAAAGGGUGCGUAGGUGGUCAAUUAAGUCAGUGCUGAAAUAUCCCGGCUUAACCGGGAGGGUGGCAUUGAUACUGAUUGACUUGAGUAGAGUUGAGGUAGGCGGAAUUGACGGUGUAGCGGUGAAAUGCUUAGAUAUCGUCAAGAACACCGAUAGCGAAGGCAGCUUACUAAGCUCAAACUGACACUGAUGCACGAAAGUGUGGGGAUCAAACAGG